AUCAUUGGUUCUCAUACAAUCACCAAAGUUAAGCAAUAUUGAGCCUGGUCGGUACCAAGAUGGGUGACCACUUGGGAAUACAAGGUGCUGUAAG